UGGGGGAUAUUGCACAAUGGGCGAAAGCCUGAUGCAGCGACGCCGCGUGGGGGAUGAAGGCCUUCGGGUUGUAAACUUCUUUUGCUCUGAACAAGGCGCACCAUGGGGUGUGUUGAGUGUAGGGGUUGAUUAGCGCCGGCUAACUACGUGCCAGCAGCCGCGGUAAUACGUAGGGCGCGAGCGGUGUCAGGAAUUAUUGGGCGUAAAGGGCUUGUAGGUGGCUGGUUGCGUCUGUCGUGAAAGCUCAUGGCUUAACUGUGGGUUUGCGGUGGGUACGGGCUGGCUUGAGUGCAGUAGGGGAGGCUGGAAUUCCUGGUGUAGCGGUGGAAUGCGCAGAUAUCAGGAGGAAUACCGGUGGCGAAGGCGGGUCUCUGGGCUGUUACUGACACUGAGGAGCGAAAGCAUGGGGAGCGAACAGG
rnacentral:rRNA from 1 species